rnacentral:rRNA from 1 species
UACAGAGGUCCCAAGCGUUGUUCGGAUUCACUGGGCGUAAAGGGUGCGUAGGUGGCCAGGUAAGUUCGGUGUGAAAGCUCGGAGCUUAACUCCGAAAUGGCAUUGAAUACUAUCUGGCUAGAGGGUCGGAGGGGAGACUGGAAUUCUCGGUGUAGCAGUGAAAUGCGUAGAUAUCGAGAGGAACACCAGUGGCGAAGGCGAGUCUCUGGACGACUCCUGACACUGAGGCACGAAAGCCA